rnacentral:lncRNA from 1 species
GUGUCUGUAGAACUUGGAGAGAUGAGGUGCUUCUGUGGACAGGGACCAUACUCUGGGGCAAAUGUUUCCUUGUGACCCUUCUCCAGCUUCCUUAGGGUGAAGGCAUAGAUUCCUUUCUCUGGAGGCUAAGAUACCAAUGAGCUUUGCCUUUGGGAUGAUUUUGUUUGUAUUGCAAUGAAAAGUAUAAGCUGCUGAGAGAAAUUUGUGCCUUUUGAAGAUGGCAGUUUUAAGUAGACUGGCUGGUGUCUCAGAAGAAAAGCUGACUACCUAGAAAUACCUGUAUGUAAACCUAUCACUCUAGACUUAACAGAUUAAGAGGCAGGUUAACUCUCUCUGAACUGUUGCCUUGUACGCAAGCCUUGCUCUCAGUUCUCAAUGGUCUUACAGGCUCCCCCUGAUGGGCAUGAGCAUUUACUACACCCAAUCUAACUUAGGACUUCACAGGCCUUGAACAAUGUAACAGAAAGAGCUUCUCUAUCUACUGUGCUGAAAGACAGGAGCCUUUCCUAGGAAGGUUGCCCAAUUCCCUCUCCUAAGCACUGGAAGACCACUGAACCCUGAAAUGAGUAGUUGGCCCCUUGGACAGCUGUUCCUUGGAAGCUACAAAGGGCCUUCCCAGCCUGCUCCUUAGGGAGGAUCUUGAGUCCCAAGCCCCCUGGUUACUCCAAAAGCCAGGAAUCAGGAGAAUGUGAUUGCUCAACAGGGGUACUUAGCAUAAAAGGAAUUCUGGGAUGUUCUGUCUUCAACAGCUUGGGACACUGCCAGAAAUCCCUCUUCCAGCUUUUUAAUUCAACUGCUGGUUGGAGAGCACUUUUUGAAGGUGCCAUUAACUUCUUUCAUAUCAAGGAUUAUUUGAAGAGUCAGAAUCCAGGCAUCCACUCACUCCAUUUGACCAUCCCCCCACCAUGACCCCUUGCAACACUGUGGUUUCUGACCAUAAAUAGGUUAUGAAGUUCCACCAGAAUGUUGUACUAGUUGCCAGUUACCCACAGUGGCCCAGUUUUCAUGCUGCCUUGCAGAAGGGGCUUAAAUGAGGGUGGCCCAGCAAACCUGGCUUAUCUAGUCCCUAACUAGGAACCCACUGGAUAGGACAUCCCUGCCCAUCACUCCUGAGGACAUUAUAGCUAAAGAACACCCUACAUAUAUUUAUAGCAGGUCAGGGACCCACAGGUUGAAAGUUAUUGAGGAGACCCAGCAGGCUGUGAUAGAUGCAGACAUGUGUAGUUGGUGCUUAU